rnacentral:rRNA from 1 species
UACGUAGGGGCGAGCGUUGUCCGGAAUCAUUGGGCGUAAAGCGCGUGUAGGCGGCCCGAUAAGUCUGCUGUGAAAGUCCAGGGCUCAACCCUGGGCGUGCGGUGGAUACUGCCGGGCUAGAGGGUGGUAGAGGCGAGUGGAAUUCCCGGUGUAGCGGUGAAAUGCGCAGAUAUCGGGAGGAACACCAGUAGCGAAGGCGGCUCGCUGGGCCAUACCUGACGCUGAGAUGCGAAAAGCGUGGGGAGCGAACAGGAUUAGAAACCCCUGGUAGU